rnacentral:rRNA from 1 species
UCGAGGGGCAGCGGGACAAUAGCUUGCUAUUGUCGCCGGCGACCGGCGGCACGGGGUGAGUAACGCGUAUCCAACCUGCCCCCUGGUAGGGAAUAGCCCGUAGAAAUGCGGAUUAAUGCCCUAUGUUGUCUUUCGAGGACAUCUGAGUAAGACGAAAGAUUUAUCGCCGGGGAUGGGGAUGCGUCUGAUUAGCUUGAUGCGGGUAACGGCCCACCAUGGCAACGAUCAGUAGGGGUUCUGAGAGGAAGGUCCCCACAUUGGAACUGAGACACGGUCCAAACUCCUACGGGAGGCAGCAGUGAGGAAUAUUGGUCAAUGGGCGUGAGCCUGAACCAGCCAAGUAGCGUGCGGGAUGACGGCCCUACGGGUUGUAAACCGCUUUGUACGGGAAUAAAGUCGCCCACGUGUGGGUGUUUGUAUGUACCGUAAGAAUAAGGACCGGCUAAUUCCGUGCC